rnacentral:rRNA from 1 species
GAUGAACGCUCGCUACAGGCUUAACACAUGCAAGUCGAGGGGAAACGACAUCGAAAGCUUGCUUUUGAUGGGCGUCGACCGGCGCACGGGUGAGUAACGCGUAUCCAACCUGCCCAUCACUUGGGAAUAACCUUGCGAAAGUAAGACUAAUACCCAAUGAUAUCCCACGAAGGCAUCGGAAUGGGAUUAAAGAUUUAUCGGUGAUGGAUGGGGAUGCGUCUGAUUAGCUUGUUGGCGGGGUAACGGCCCACCAAGGCAACGAUCAGUAGGGGUUCUGAGAGGAAGGUCCCCCACAUUGGAACUGAGACACGGUCCAAACUACUACGGGAGGCAGCAGUAAGGGAUAUUGGUCAAUGGGCGAGAGCCUGAACCAGCCAAGUAGCGUGCAGGAAGACGGCCCUAGGGGUUGUAAACUGCUUUUAUAAGGGAAUAAAGUGGGUCACGUGUGACUUUUUGCAUGUACCUUAUGAAUAAGGACCGGCUAAUUCCGUG